UGAGGAAUAUUGGUCAAUGGGCGGGAGCCUGAACCAGCCAAGUCGCGUGAAGGAAGAAGGAUCUAUGGUUCGUAAACUUCUUUUGCAGGGGAAUAAAGUGCAGGACGUGUCCUGUUUCGUAUGUACCCUGAGAAUAAGGAUCGGCUAACUCCGUGCCAGCAGCCGCGGUAAUACGGAGGAUCCGAGCGUUAUCCGGAUCUAUUGGGUUUAAAGGGUGCGUAGGUGGUUUGAUAAGUCAGCGGUGAAAGUUUGCAGCUUAACUGUAAAAAUGCCGUUGAAACUGUCGGACUUGAGUGUAAAUGAGGUAGGCGGAAUGCGUGGUGUAGCGGUGAAAGGCAUAGAUAUCACGCAGAACUCCGAUUGCGAAGGCAGCUUACUAAGCUACAACUGACACUGAAGCACGAAAGCGUGGGG
rnacentral:rRNA from 1 species